rnacentral:lncRNA from 1 species
CCUGUACAAUAUUCAAGAGGUUGUGCAAUAUACAAUGCCACUCUGAACCGCAUUACCCACUUUAUUGGUUGUGUGUCCCCUGUGAUAAGCUCUCAAAAAUAAGAACUAUUAUAUGAAUCAUUAUCGAAGAAAUAUGUUAUCUUUCUAAGUAAAUUCAUGAUUUUUUAGUCUUCCUUAAAGCAGUUAAAUCAAAUAGGGAGCCAAUAUCAUAUAAUCUCAUUUUUUACUUUCUCAUAGUUACUCUCUAGGUAAAGUAAGUUGAUGGUCAGUAUAAUGUCGUAGACUCUGUAUAAUGAACUAUGUGUAUGGACUUGCUAGCAAACACUCACAAUGUCAUUUCUGAUAAGCAACUAUAUCUAAGAACAAAAUUAGAAAUCUAAGCUUUGUUUGGAAAAUCUCUGUAAAAUGGAACAAUGCAGGAACCCAAGGCUUUGUUUGGGGAAUAUCAGAACAAGAUUGCAGAUUGAAUCUGAUCUUGCUUUCUUGUUAGAAAUUAGAAUUUAUAGAUCAAAUUGUAGUCUCAUCCAGCUUGUAUUUAUCAGUUCAACCAAAAUCACUUCAACAAAAUUAGUUUUGCAAUUCUAGUAUUCAAUAUUUAUAUCACUAUAGCAUAUCAUCAGGACACGAACAAAUAGAGAAAGUGAAGAAAAUAAAAACAAUUAAAUAACCAGUAUCUCGCAACUGGCAAACGAACUAAAUCCUAAUUAGUUUCACUACAAUUUGCUUCCUUCGCCACUUUGGUGUGAAAAAAUAAAAUAAGCAGCUAGGAAAGGCAUCCUAGUACAAUCACACAAAGUUAAAGUAGAUUAAACAUAAAGAAAAUAACAUGACAUAUGGACCUUUGGGUUGCUCAUUCUCACUUUAAACGAAAAUAAAAACACAUCAGGAAACAAGAGUUUUUUGGCACAAAACAUCACUAACGUAUAAUUUCAUAAUCUUUCUGAUAAUUUUCUGUAAUUUAUUCACCUUAUAGAGUAGAUCUGACAUCGUCCACACCAACAUUGAUUUCAAACUAUCAAGAAAAGGAAUGGUUUCAUCCUUGACACUUCUUGUUGAACUUUGAAAUUGUGAAAAGCCGCACAAUUUUAUACAAAUAAAGUCCUCUCACCAAGUUUACCAUAUUUACA